UCCUACGGGAGGCAGCAGUGAGGAAUAUUGGUCAAUAGGCGCAAGCCUGAACCAGCCAUGCCGCGUGCAGGAAGAAUCAUUUAUGGUGUGUAAACUGCUUUUAUACAGGAAGAAACCUCCCUACGAGUAGAGACUGACGGUCCGUAGA
rnacentral:rRNA from 1 species